GAAAAAAAUUAUGUAGUAACAUUAACUAUUCUCACGCGUUUUACUUUACUAUGACCAUGUGCCACAACGCAAUAGUAAAACUAACUGCGAUUCCAUUCAAACCCACUGAAUCAUAUAGGGUAGUUUACUGCAAACGUACUAGAACAUCCAUAGUAAAGCAAACCACACCAUUCAGUUCCCGCUGGCAUCACCGCAAGUUGUGAUUUUUUGUUUUUAAGAAGGUGACCGCUCCACGCUAUACGUUUAAUAAACUGAAAACAAGCCCGACAUCAUGUUGACUCCGUAUAAGAAUUCUUCAUCACUGAGGAGGGAAUUGACGGAUAUUCCCAAUCAAAGGGCUCCCACGGGUUCUGUUUCAGAUAAUAGAUAUAGGAUCCGGCUGAAGCAGUCAUAAAUUAAUGAUGUUGAGCUGAAUAACCAUCCUAAUCACCAUACGAAAAUGUCUGUACAUUUGAAAUCACAUUUUUCUUUAUUGCAACCCUCGGAGAAAAAAUGCCACAUGGAAAAAUGGAUGCUUGGCGAGGAGUUUCCACGAAUAUCCGCGAUUUUUUCUUGCAUCAACAGUUAUCAUCUGGUAGCAUUAACUUUAUUAUUAUUAUUUGUUAUGUGCGUGUUGCCUAUUUCUGAAUAAAGAUUGUUGAUCCUCUAUUUCUUCUGAAACACUGCUCAAAAAUCAGAAAAAUGAAUGAACGAUUGAAUAACAAUCUUUUCUAACGUGCAUAGUAGUAUGAAAUCGCAUCCAUGGUAAA